rnacentral:rRNA from 1 species
UACGGAGGGGGCUAGCGUUGCUCGGAAUUACUGGGCGUAAAGCGCGCGUAGGCGGACCUGCAAGUCGGGGGUGAAAGCCCGAGGCUCAACCUCGGAACUGCCUUCGAUACUGCGGGUCUCGAGUCCGAGAGAGGUGAGUGGAAUUCCUAGUGUAGAGGUGAAAUUCGUAGAUAUUAGGAAGAACACCAGUGGCGAAGGCGGCUCACUGGCGCGUUACUGACGCUGAGGUGCGAAAGCGUGGGGAGCAAACAGG